rnacentral:rRNA from 1 species
UACGUAGGGGGCAAGCGUUGUUCGGAAUUACUGGGCGUAAAGGGCGCGUAGGCGGCACGGCAAGUCAGGAGUGAAAGCCCGGGGCUCAACCCCGGAAUGUCUUUUGAAACUGCCGAGCUAGAGUGCGGAAGAGGCAACUGGAAUUCCCAGUGUAGCGGUGAAAUGCGUAGAUAUUGGGAAGAACACCUGAGGCGAAGGCGGGUUGCUGGGCCGACACUGAG